rnacentral:lncRNA from 1 species
UACGGUUAGAUAAUCACAAUCAUUAUUACUUCUACCAAUAUCAGUUGUAAUAGAAAUACGAUUAGUUAUAUGGGUAAAUAAAUAGCGCAAGUAUUGUUCAUAUUCAUUUUUGUAUUUAUAAAUAUCGGCCUUAAAUGUGGCGCGAGGCCAACCUUUUAUACGUAGGAUUAAAUACUCUUCUAAUAUAAUGAAUCCAUGCAGGAUUAGAAGCAAAAGAAUAUGGCAAACACAUAACAGUAAUCAUUUUAGCUAAUUCUUCACGAUCCUUAUUUGGAUCGUAAUGUAAUAUACCUCCAGUGACUGUGUUUAUUCUUGGUUGAACUAGAUUUGAACCAGUACUUGGGUUAACUGAAGUAUCAGGACUUGACCUCCCCUCUUGUUGCGCUUUCAAUUGCAAAAUUCUAGCCUUAUCGCUAGGGUGUAAUCUUAUAUGCUUAACUAAACUACCCGUGCCGCUACGAUC